GGGACACGUGGUAUCCUGUCUGAAUAUGGGGGGACCAUCCUCCAAGGCUAAAUACUCCUGACUGACCGAUAGUGAACCAGUACCGUGAGGGAAAGGCGAAAAGAACCCCGGCGAGGGGAGUGAAAAAGAACCUGAAACCGUGUACGUACAAGCAGUGGGAGCACAGAGCAAUCUGUGUGACUGCGUACCUUUUGUAUAAUGGGUCAGCGACUUAUAUUCUGUAGCAAGGUUAACCGAAUAGGGGAGCCGAAGGGAAACCGAGUCUUAACUGGGCGUUAAGUUGCAGGGUAUAGACCCGAAACCCGGUGAUCUAGCCAUGGGCAGGUUGAAGGUUGGGUAACACUAACUGGAGGACCGAACCGACUAAUGUUGAAAAAUUAGCGGAUGACUUGUGGCUGGGGGUGAAAGGCCAAUCAAACCGGGAGAUAGCUGGUUCUCCCCGAAAGCUAUUUAGGUAGCGCCUCGUGAAUUCAUCUCCGGGGGUAGAGCACUGUUUCGGCAAGGGGGUCAUCCCGACUUACCAACCCGAUGCAAACUGCGAAUACCGGAGAAUGUUAUCACGGGAGACACACGGCGGGUGCUAACGUCCGUCGUGAAGAGGGAAACAACCCAGACCGCCAGCUAAGGUCCCAAAGUCAUGGUUAAGUGGGAAACGAUGUGGGAAGGCCCAGACAGCCAGGAUGUUGGCUUAGAAGCAGCCAUCAUUUAAAGAAAGCGUAAUAGCUCACUGGUCGAGUCGGCCUGCGCGGAAGAUGUAACGGGGCUAAACCAUGCACCGAAGCUGCGGCAGCGACACUAUGUGUUGUUGGGUAGGGGAGCGUUCUGUAAGCCUGUGAAGGUGUACUGUGAGGUAUGCUGGAGGUAUCAGAAGUGCGAAUGCUGACAUAAGUAACGAUAAAGCGGGUGAAAAGCCCGCUCGCCGGAAGACCAAGGGUUCCUGUCCAACGUUAAUCGGGGCAGGGUGAGUCGACCCCUAAGGCGAGGCCGAAAGGCGUAGUCGAUGGGAAACAGGUUAAUAUUCCUGUACUUGGUGUUACUGCGAAGGGGGGACGGAGAAGGCUAUGUUGGCCGGGCGACGGUUGUCCCGGUUUAAGCGUGUAGGCUGGUUUUCCAGGCAAAUCCGGAAAAUCAAGGCUGAGGCGUGAUGACGAGGCACUACGGUGCUGAAGCAACAAAUGCCCUGCUUCCAGGAAAAGCCUCUAAGCAUCAGGUAACAUCAAAUCGUACCCCAAACCGACACAGGUGGUCAGGUAGAGAAUACCAAGGCGCUUGAGAGAACUCGGGUGAAGGAACUAGGCAAAAUGGUGCCGUAACUUCGGGAGAAGGCACGCUGAUAUGUAGGUGAAGUCCCUCGCGGAUGGAGCUGAAAUCAGUCGAAGAUACCAGCUGGCUGCAACUGUUUAUUAAAAACACAGCACUGUGCAAACACGAAAGUGGACGUAUACGGUGUGACGCCUGCCCGGUGCCGGAAGGUUAAUUGAUGGGGUCAGCGCAAGCGAAGCUCUUGAUCGAAGCCCCGGUAAACGGCGGCCGUAACUAUAACGGUCCUAAGGUAGCGAAAUUCCUUGUCGGGUAAGUUCCGACCUGCACGAAUGGCGUAAUGAUGGCCAGGCUGUCUCCACCCGAGACUCAGUGAAAUUGAACUCGCUGUGAAGAUGCAGUGUACCCGCGGCAAGACGGAAAGACCCCGUGAACCUUUACUAUAGCUUGACACUGAACAUUGAGCCUUGAUGUGUAGGAUAGGUGGGAGGCUUUGAAGUGUGGACGCCAGUCUGCAUGGAGCCGACCUUGAAAUACCACCCUUUAAUGUUUGAUGUUCUAACGUUGACCCGUGAUCCGGGUUGCGGACAGUGUCUGGUGGGUAGUUUGACUGGGGCGGUCUCCUCCUAAAGAGUAACGGAGGAGCACGAAGGUUGGCUAAUCCUGGUCGGACAUCAGGAGGUUAGUGCAAUGGCAUAAGCCAGCUUGACUGCGAGCGUGACGGCGCGAGCAGGUGCGAAAGCAGGUCAUAGUGAUCCGGUGGUUCUGAAUGGAAGGGCCAUCGCUCAACGGAUAAAAGGUACUCCGGGGAUAACAGGCUGAUACCGCCCAAGAGUUCAUAUCGACGGCGGUGUUUGGCACCUCGAUGUCGGCUCAUCACAUCCUGGGGCUGAAGUAGGUCCCAAGGGUAUGGCUGUUCGCCAUUUAAAGUGGUACGCGAGCUGGGUUUAGAACGUCGUGAGACAGUUCGGUCCCUAUCUGCCGUGGGCGCUGGAGAACUGAGGGGGGCUGCUCCUAGUACGAGAGGACCGGAGUGGACGCAUCACUGGUGUUCGGGUUGUCAUGCCAAUGGCACUGCCCGGUAGCUAAAUGCGGAAGAGAUAAGUGCUGAAAGCAUCUAAGCACGAAACUUGCC
rnacentral:rRNA from 1 species